rnacentral:rRNA from 1 species
GCAGCCUGAUGCAGCGACGCCGCGUGAGGGAUGACGGCCUUCGGGUUGUAAACCUCUUUCGUUAGGGACGAAACGCAAGUGACGGUUCCUAUAGGAGAAGGACCGGCCAACUACGUGCCACCACCCGCGGUAAUACGUAGGGUCCGAGCGUUGUCCGGAAUUACUGGGCGUAAAGAGCUCGUACGUGGUUUGUCGCGUUGUUCGUGAAAACUCACAGCUCAACUGUGGGCGUGCGGGCGAUACCGGCAAACUACAGUACAGCAGGGGAGACUGGAAUUCCUGGUGUAACGGUGGAAUGCCCAGAUUUCAGGAGGAACACCGGUGGCGAAGGCGGAUCUCUGGGCAGUAACUGACGCUUAGGAACGAAAGCGUGGGGAGCGAACAGGAUUAGAUACCCUGGUAGUCCACGCCAUACACGGUGGGUACUAGGUGUGGGUUUCCUUCCUUGGGAUCCGUGCCGUAGCUAACGCAUUAAGUACCCCCCCUGGGGAGUACGGCCGCAAGGCUAAAACUCAGAGAAAUUGACGGGGGCCCGCACAAGCGGCGGAGCAUGUGGAUUAAUUCGAAGCAACGCGAAGAACCUUACCUGGGUUUGACAUGCACAGGACGUGCCUAGAGAUAGGUAUUCCCUUGUGG